rnacentral:rRNA from 1 species
UACGAAGGGGGCUAGCGUUGCUCGGAAUCACUGGGCGUAAAGCGCACGUAGGCGGCUUUCUAAGUCAGGGGUGAAAUCCUGGAGCUCAACUCCAGAACUGCCUUUGAUACUGGCGAUCUUGAGUCCGGGAGAGGUGAGUGGAACUGCGAGUGUAGAGGUGAAAUUCGUAGAUAUUCGCAAGAACACCAGUGGCGAAGGCGGCUCACUGGCCCGGUACUGACGCUGAGGUGCGAAAGCGUGGGGAGCAAACAGG